rnacentral:lncRNA from 1 species
UUUUUUUUUUUUUUGGUUUCUGUUUUCUUUUCUUUUUCCUUUUUCUUUCUUUCUUUUUUUUUUUGCAUUGAACGCUGAGAGCUCGUGUUUACUAAGCAAGCUUUUGUGUUUAUCUUCCUUAUUUUUACUGAACAUCUUCAGUACCUGGGUAAUGGAAACCCACUCUUUUUUCAUUGUAAUGACUUUGGGGGCUUUUGUGAGUAAGGGAGGGUGGGAUAAAAGGUGGCAGAGGGAGCAAGGUCUUAAUUGCUCUGAAGGUUGGACCCGUGAAGCCCUGGCAUAGACCUGAAGAGGUGGCAGCCAGUGGGUGGUUGUUUCUCAAUCUCUGUAGCAUGACUUUUUAAUCCCCAGGUGUGUUAGUCCCAGCCUAGUUUGGUGCUCGAGGUGAGAGGGGAUUUGAAUCUGUUUGCAAAUUGUCCAACCCACCAGGUCAACGUGAGGGGCUUACAUUCUGGGUUUGAUAAGAAAAGUGUUCAUUCAUGACUGCUAUGUCCUGAGAAAAGUUCCGAUUUCUUUUAACAAAUGUCAUCAUGAUUAAGGAAAUGUCUGGCACUUUAAUGGCAAAUUAAUUGAGAAUGUAUGAAAGUCAUGAAUGUACAAGCCAAAUAAAGCUCUUUAUUAACCCUG